rnacentral:sRNA from 17 species
GUCAACUACCCCGGCAUAAAUGCCGGAGCUUGGAGGUGAAAACCAAAAGGCUCGGUUGACCAGGGAAAGCGGUAUCCAACCCGCUACGUUUGCAACAGGUCGUUACGACCCACUCCGGGAUGCUUCCUCAGUCCCGGACACUGGA